rnacentral:tRNA from 1 species
CGCUAGAUAGCUCAGUUGGUAGAGCACCUGACUAGAGAUUCGGGGGGCUCGGGUUCGAAUCCCGGUCUGGUCC